rnacentral:rRNA from 1 species
CCGGACCGGCGCGACGGGUGAAGUAACGCGUAUGACCAACCUCGUCCCGUUUCAGGCGGGAUAACCCCGGAGAAAAUCCGGCCUAAUACCGCAUGUGGCCGAGGGGAGGCAUCUUCUUUCGGCCAAAGGAGGCGACUCCGGAGACGGAUGGGCAUGCGUGACAUUAGCUAGUUGGCGGGGUAACGGCCCACCAAGGCGACGAUGUCUAGGGGUUCUGAGAGGAAGGUCCCCCACACUGGUACUGAGACACGGACCAGACUCCUACGGGAGGCAGCAG